UGCGAAGGGUGCAAGCGUUACUCGGAAUUACUGGGCGUAAAGCGUGCGUAGGUGGUUCGUUAAGUCCGAUGUGAAAGCCCUGGGCUCAACCUGGGAAUGGCAUGGGAUACUGGCGGGCUAGAGUGCGGUAGAGGGUGGCGGAAUUCCCGGUGUAGCAGUGAAAUGCGUAGAUAUCGGGAGGAACAUCUGUGGCGAAGGCGGCCACCUGGACCAGCACUGACACUGAGGCACGAAAGCGUGGGGAGCAAACAGG
rnacentral:rRNA from 1 species